rnacentral:rRNA from 1 species
UACAGAGGGUGCGAGCGUUGUUCGGAAUUAUUGGGCGUAAAGGGCGCGUAGGCGGCGCCACAAGUCACCUGUGAAAACUCUGGGCUCAACCCAGAGCCUGCAGGCGAAACUGGCAGGCUAGAGUGCGGGAGAGGAGAGUGGAAUUCCUGGUGUAGCGGUGAAAUGCGCAGAUAUCAGGAAGAACACCCGUGGCGAAGGCGGCUCUCUGGAACGCAACUGACGCUGAGACGCGAAAGCGUGGGGAGCAAACAGG